rnacentral:rRNA from 1 species
CCUACGGGUGGCAGCAGUGGGGAAUAUUGCACAAUGGGCGGAACCCUGAUGCAGCGACGCCGCGUGGGUGAAGGAGGACUUCGGUACGUAAAGCCCUAUCAGCAAGGAAGAAAAUGACGGUACUUGACUAAGAAGCCCCGGCUAACUACGUGCCAGCAGCCGCGGUAAUACGUAGGGGGCAAGCGUUAUCCGGAUUUACGGGGGGUAAAGGGAGCGUAGAGGGGUUUGUAUGUCCGAGGUGAAAGCCGGGGGCGCAACCCUGGACCGCCUGUGAAAAUUGCAAACUUGAGUGCGGGAGAGGCAAGCGGAAUUCCUGGUGUAGCGGUGAAAUGCGUAGAUAUCAGGAGGAACACCGGUGGCGAAGGCGGCCUGCUGGACCGUAACUGACGUUGAGGCACGAAAGCGUGGGGAGCAAACAGGAUUAGAUACCCUAGUAGUC